rnacentral:lncRNA from 1 species
AGCUCUGUAUCAGAUCAUAGGUUACUGGUACUAUUGGUACUGGAGCUAAUGUUUAGUAUAGUCUCGUGGAUUGGUACAAAUAUGUCUGUAUACUUUCUUUAGGAGGCUACUAAUGUCGCCCAAACUACACCUCCUUAUGAGGAUAAAGCGAUCACUAUUAAAAUAUGGUAACCCAACUAGGUUGGGUUCAAUCCCACUGAAAAUAUGUCAGAGAUCUUGCUUGAAUUUGUUGAAAUCACCAUGAAGUGCAGAAAAGUAAAUGGGGGAUGUGGUGAGAUAGUAAAGAGAAACAAGAAUUAGAUGCUCGAAGUUGUAAUCAAUUUAAG